UUCUAUACCAUAUUAUGAAGAAAAUAGAAGUAAAAAUACAGCCUAUUUAUUUUCUGAAUAAACAUCAAGCUACGGUCGAAGCUCUUGCCUAGUAUCCCUGGAAAAAUAUUGUGUUGGUACAGCCAGUAGUGAAGAUGAAGCAAACAAAGGAGAAAGAAAGAAGUAGAAGAAAGGUUUAUCAGUUGUGAAAGGAAAUUUGGGGGACGUAGGCCUCACCAGCGAAAUCGCAACCACAAAUGUUCGUUAGACUCGCUUUCUCGAUUAUUUUAGAAGGGCGCCAAUUCACCGCUCCAGCCUACGAUGAUCAUCGGGAAGUCGAGUUUAAAC